UUGGAGCAGAUGAACAGGUGAGCGACCACUUCUCUUCCUUUUCCUUUGGACUCAACACUUUUAUAGCUUCGCUUGGGUUCUCCAGAAUAGCUCUGAUGGCUUUUGUUGUGGUGUUCUUAGGGGUUCGUCUUCUUCCCUUUUGAACUGUCGCCGUUAAAAGAGUUUUCUUCGUGUUCAAAGGUGGCGGCUUGAAAUCAAUAGGGUUUCGAUUAGAAUUUUUGUUUAGGGUUUUGGUCGUGUUCAAUUCCUCUAGGUUUUUUGAGUGGUAGCCGCUCUUCUCCAAAUACUGUUUUUUUUUAGGGUUCUCCUUUUCGGCUGAUCCUCAAAAUCUCCUUUUUAUAUUUGCAGAUUAGGGUUUUCAGUUUGGGAUUCAAAGGUUCAAAAGAGGAAUUUCCUGGCAGUGUUUUUGAUGCUCAGAAUUGGACUACAUAUUUCGAUGAUUGGACUUGAAAAAGUGAAAUUUCGGGUAACCUGGAGGCUGAGGACAAGGUUGAGGUUCAAGGUGGCCCGCUGGAGGUUUCAUGGAGCAAAGGUGAUGGAUCAAACCGCUAGUCAACAACGGUAGAGUGUUUUGCCAUAAGCUUCUCCUGCAAAUCUCUCUCCUUGGCAAUAACUUCCUCCACCUUGGGUAAUAUUGGUGUGGCUUGUGGAGAAGACUGCAAGAAUGCUACAGGUGAUUUUAACUCCUUUGUGAUCUCUUUCAGCGAGCUAUUAACUGAUUUUCGGGUUGCUUUACACGCUUGAAUAUCUCCUGACCUGAAAUUUUCCUUGUGAUUUCAAUAACAUUGAAUUGUUGAAAAUUUGUUGCUUCUGUCAAUGCCUUUCUCUUUGCAACAUUGCGUUUCUCCCAUGCCUGUGGAACUGUUCCUGUACUUGUUGGAACCCUGCAAUAAUUUCCUUUUUGAUUUCUUCCAAGCAUUUUCACCAUUUGCUCUUUAUUUCCUUGUUUUAACAAGAACACCAUUUUCUUUAUUUCAGGUACAUGCUGAGCUGCCUCUUUUUACCUCUGGUGACAUGUCUAUUACUUUCAGUCUGCUGCUGUGAAAAUUGAGCCGUGAAGCCAGGACUAUGCAUAGCCUUUGCUAGGAAGGACAUCAUCUGUUGCUGAUGCUGCUCCAUCACCUGCCCACGUUGCCCAACAUUUUGCAAUUGGUUAUCAGUCGUUUGUUGUCGCUGCAGUAUUCGACCCCUAAAAGGUUGGCAUGAACGAGGAGUAUUUGAUGCCGCUUGAAACUUGAUCGCAUCCGUCAGGAAACCUACUUGAUAAUUGUAUAGAAAAUGCACUCGGUUCUUAUCUGAUACCACCAUGUUCACACUGGUAUCUGCUCGACUUAUUAUGAUAUGCCCCAUUGUCAGCUUCAGUAACAUAGCCUCUAGCAAAAGCAAUAUCCAAAUUGCUAUCAGAAUCCAUUCUCCGUAGGCCAUGGACGUGUUUUUGAUCCUCGUAGACCAAUUGAUAACUGUUACUAUCAUUAAUAUUGAAGUCCAUUCUGUUUUUGAAGAGUGAUGAAUUUGUGGUUGUCUUGCAAAAGUUGGCAUGUUCCUACUACAUAUUUUUUAAAAUUAAAUGUAUCUGUUAUUCCACUUUUAUGGAAUGUGUCCUUGACAAACUUUUUGUUUGAACAUUGUUUCAGGGUUGGAAAGAUAUAUUUGGUUUUAACCUUGCAGCCAUGGAUCAUAUCCAGCAAUUGUUGGCUUCAAGAUCAGAUGCCCUUUUCCAAGAUGCAAGAUCAAAACUGCUUGAGAUACGUGCUCAACAAUCCAAACGUUUACAAGACAGAUCAGAUACCGGAGAAUUCUUGCGGAAGAAGAAAAAGAAGACAUAAAGUAUUUUGUUUUGUUCCGGUCAUGAUCUUGAGCUGAAUUAGUAUAUGUAUUUGGUCUGGGGUGAGAGAAAUCUCAGUGUUUCUCAAAAGCAUAGUCAGCAAUGUCAAACAUGACUGCAUUAAAGGACUGAUAGAGUUUACUGAACUUCGGGCAAUAUCCAGCACAACAGACUUUAUUUUCUCAGCAUGUACUUGAAGAGAUGGUAAAGGCAAUUUGACCAGUACAGUAAGGCAUCCAAGAGAAGCAGACAAUAUGUCCUCGUACUUCGAGGACAAACCAAUCACUUAAUAGCUUGACAAAAGGAUCUAAUAAGGAUAAGGCAUUUUCAUCUUUUACACCCUGUUUCAAACCCUUCAUACGUUUAUGUAAUAUUCUAAUACCAAACCUGUUAUCAGAUGUGAGCAUAAUAAGCCACUAGCAACUACACGGCCUGAAAAUAUAUUUUUUUAGCA